rnacentral:rRNA from 1 species
AUGACUAGCCUAAAUACAAGGGAUCAGACCAGCUGCCACGUGAAAACUUGCAAAACAAUGGGAAGGGCCCACGGUAGCAAUGGUCCAACUUCAAUUAGUAUUCUGCUACGUGAUGGCCAAGUUGAUCUACAACUCCAAAAAAUUUACGGAAAAAUUGUUACAUGGGGAAGCCACCAGGUGGGAUCUGCUUUGGAAAAUUCAUGCAGGAAAUAUACUAUAUCAAGAAGACUGUCACGUGGUCAAAGGGAAAAAGACCAGGGAUUAGCGAGGUUUAAAAGAAAAAGGCCACGACCCGGAAACGGAGCCGGCCACGAUCCAGAUUCCUCCUGCGCCCGCGACCUCGUUUCGGGCGCCCGCCUCUGCUACCUUGCGUACGCCCCGGCGGCUUCCGAGUCGUCGCCCUCCCCGACACGCCCUCCUCGACACCACGGCCUACCUCCGCCGCCCGGCUCCAGGCCGCCGCCGCAGGCCCACUUCGACCACUGCUGUGAAGCGCCACGGCCUCCUGAGCCGCCCAUGGACGGCGCCUCUCUGACCCGCCCGCCGGCCCUGCUGUGCCUCACGAGGACCUCCGCCGUCGCGACCGAGCCCGCCUAA